CCGGGUUCAGUGUCACCGAGGAAAUGGGGUUAGUCACCAUUAACCUCUCCUUUCAGACAAUCCAUCAUCCAGAACCUCUUAUGGCCAGAGCUUGUCUUCAUUUGAGCAGAUUUGAAUGUGUGUGAGGGAAAUCGAGGCGAAUGUGGAAGGUGCGCCGACGCUUCCGUUGGUUUUACGUUUUUUUAUGGUUUUACGACGCCGCUCACUUGACUGAGAUUAAUAAGGACGCCCGACAGAAGCGACGGCGAAGCUACAGAGGCGCAGCCGCGGGCUGGAAUCCCCGGGUGGAACCCGGCGUGGUGCAGGAGGACGGUGCCACACCUCCGACGCGCUCCGUGGCCUCGCUUCCAGCGCCGGACGGCGGCGCGGCCAUAGGCGGAGCCGCUCACCUGAAGGCCGCCACCUGCCCCGGGAGGGUGGGCCACAGCAACGCCGGCGCCGCGGAGCCUCUUGACAACGCUGCAUCCUGAGGGGACGUGUGGGAUUGGCACGUGCACGGAGGCGCGGAGCGACGGCACGCGAAGGGGUGAGGCUUUGAGUUGGAGUCUGGUGCUGCACACGUCCAUGCGCUCGCCCACAGCCUCUGGUUCAGGCGCGAUGGGUUCCUUCAGGCUUCAGCCUCAGCAGCUCUGAUCGAACACGGCCUCAUUUGGGCGCAGCCGUUUAAAUUGCAGAAGGUACAUUGUGUUAAAUUAUAGAUGAGGCGGAUAAUUACUGCUUUGCCACGUGAAAUGUCAUGGAACGGGAUCUGCUGUUAGACGGCGUUAACGUUAAAGCGGUGGGUCAAAGGUCAACGCACACCUGACGUCUGUUGUGCAGUUUUGACUUUUAGAAAAAAUAAAAGGGAAGAGUAUUUAUUAUUUGGAUUUUUA
rnacentral:lncRNA from 1 species